rnacentral:rRNA from 1 species
UAAUACGUAGGUGGCGAGCGUUGUCCGGAUUUACUGGGCGUAAAGAGCGCGCAGGCGGUCGUACAAGUCGCGUGUGAAAGCCCCCGGCUCAACUGGGGAGGGUCAUUCGAUACUGUCCGACUCGAAGGCAGGAGAGGGAAGCGGAAUUCCCGGUGUAGUGGUGAAAUGCGUAGAUAUCGGGAGGAACACCAGUGGCGAAGGCGGCUUCCUGGCCUGUUCUUGACGCUGAGGCGCGAAAGCUAGGGGAGCAAACG